rnacentral:siRNA from 1 species
GGCCGUAUUGUUAGAAUGUGGG